UACGAAGGGGGCGAGCGUUGUUCGGAUUUACUGGGCGUAAAGCGUGCGCAGGCGGUUUUUGUAAGUCUGUCGUGAAAUCCCCCGGGCUCAACCUGGGAAUUGCGAUGGAGACUGCAAGGCUAGAAUCUGGCAGAGGGGGGUAGAAUUCCACGUGUAGCAGUGAAAUGCGUAGAGAUGUGGAGGAACACCGAUGGCGAAGGCAGCCCCCUGGGUCAAGAUUGACGCUCAUGCACGAAAGCGUGGGGAGCAAACGAGG
rnacentral:rRNA from 1 species